rnacentral:rRNA from 1 species
ACGAUGGAUAGGGGUUCUGAGAGGAAGGUCCCCCACAUUGGUACUGAGACACGGACCAAACUCCUACGGGAGGCAGCAGUGAGGAAUAUUGGUCAAUGGGCGUAAGCCUGAACCAGCCAAGUCGCGUGAGGGAUGAAGGUUCUAUGGAUCGUAAACCUCUUUUAUAAGGGAAUAAAGUGUGGGACGUGUCCUAUUUUGUAUGUACCUUAUGAAUAAGGAUCGGCUAACUCCGUGCCAGCAGCCGCGGUAAUACGGAGGAUCCGAGCGUUAUCCGGAUUUAUUGGGUUUAAAGGGUGCGUAGGCGGCCUUUUAAGUCAGCGGUGAAAGUCUGUGGCUCAACCAUAGAAUUGCCGUUGAAACUGGGGGGCUUGAGUAUGUUUGAGGCAGGCGGAAUGCGUGGUGUAGCGGUGAAAUGCUUAGAUAUCACGCAGAACCCCGAUUGCGAAGGCAGCCUGCCAAGCCAUGACUGACGCUGAUGCACGAAAGCGUGGGGAUCAAACAGGAUUAGAUACCCUGGUAGUCCACGCAGUAAACGAUGAUCACUAGCUGUUUGCGAUACAGUGUAA